GUUCAUUACGCUCUCAAGGCUCACUAUGCCCUGCUUUUCUUGUCCUGUUUAUCAGCACGGAUUCAGGACAUUAUCAACACUUCUACCUUCAUCUCCUCACCUGUGUUAGUGACGCCGAUGACUCUUCUGACUCCGUCUACUUGCUAGUAAGUGCCAGAAUCUCCUGCGAUGCGGUCGCUAUUCCUGUCCAGCACUACCAGCUGCUUGUUCCGGAUUUGCCAGCAACAAUGUCAACUCUACUGCCCCUAUUUCCUUACCUCCACGCUGACCCACCAGUGUGUUCCUGGCCCUGCAGUUCCCCCCAAGUUCUCCACUGCCUGCCUGACUCCCCUGAGUGUUCCUA